UGAACGCUGGCGGCGUGCCUACUACAUGCACGUCGAGCGAACGGACGAGAAGCUUGCUUUUCUGAUGUUAGCGGCGGACGGGUGAGUAACACGUGGAUAACCUACCUAUAAGACUGGGAUAACUUCGGGAAACCGGAGCUAAUACCGGAUAAUAUUUUGAACCGCAUGGUUCAAAAGUGAAAGACGGUCUUGCUGUCACUUAUAGAUGGAUCCGCGCUGCAUUAGCUAGUUGGUAAGGUAACGGCUUACCAAGGCAACGAUGCAUAGCCGACCUGAGAGGGUGAUCGGCCACACUGGAACUGAGACACGGUCCAGACUCCUACGGGAGGCAGCAGUAGGGAAUCUUCCGCAAUGGGCGAAAGCCUGACGGAGCAACGCCGCGUGAGUGAUGAAGGUCUUCGGAUCGUAAAACUCUGUUAUUAGGGAAGAACAUAUGUGUAAGUAACUGUGCACAUCUUGACGGUACCUAAUCAGAAAGCCACGGCUAACUACGUG
rnacentral:rRNA from 1 species